UGAGGAACAUGACCUUCGGCGGGGGAUAGCCGGCCCAACGGCCGGGUAAUACCGCGUACGACCACAUGGGGACAUCCCUGAGUGGUGAAAGCAGCAAUGCGCCGAUGGAGUGCCUCGCGGCCUAUCAGCUAGUUGGUGAGGUAACGGCUCACCAAGGCGACGACGGGUAGCUGGUCUGGAGAGGAUGGCCAGCCACAUUGGGACUGAGACACCGGCCCAGACCUNUACCGGGGAGG
rnacentral:rRNA from 1 species